AGCGAACGCUGGCGGCAGGCCUAACACAUGCAAGUCGAACGAACUCUUCGGAGUUAGUGGCGGACGGGUGAGUAACACGUGGGAACGUGCCUUUUGGUUCGGAAUAACUCAGGGAAACUUGUGCUAAUACCGAAUGUGCCCUUCGGGGGAAAGAUUUAUCGCCAUUAGAGCGGCCCGCGUCUGAUUAGCUAGUUGGUGAGGUAACGGCUCACCAAGGCGACGAUCAGUAGCUGGUCUGUGAGGAUGACCAGCCACACUGGGACUGAGACACGGCCCAGACUCCUACGGGAGGCAGCAGUGGGGAAUCUUGCGCAAUGGGCGAAAGCCUGACGCAGCCAUGCCGCGUGAAUGAUGAAGGUCUUAGGAUUGUAAAAUUCUUUCACCGGGGACGAUAAUGACGGUACCCGGAGAAGAAGCCCCGGCUAACUUCGUG
rnacentral:rRNA from 1 species